GAUGAACGCUGGCGGCGUGCCUAAUACAUGCAAGUCGAACGAAUCUUCUUCGGAAGAUGAGUGGCGAACGGGUGAGUAAUACAUAGGUAACCUGCCCCUGUGCGGGGGAUAACAGGAGGAAACUCCUGCUAAUACCGCAUAGCCAUGAGCACCGCAUGGAGCUCAUGCCAAAUAUCCUUCAGGGGAUAGCGCAGGGAUGGACCUAUGGCGCAUUGGCUAGUUGGCGGGGCAACGGCCCACCAAGGCAACGAUGCGUAGCCGGCCUGAGAGGGCGGACGGCCACAUUGGGACUGAGACACGGCCCAGACUCCUACGGGAGGCAGCAGUAGGGAAUUUUCGGCAAUGGGGGAAACCCUGACCGAGCAACGCCGCGUGAGCGAAGAAGGCCUUCGGGUCGUAAAGCUCUGUUGUAAAGGAAGAACGUCGCAUGCAGGAAAU
rnacentral:rRNA from 1 species